GACGAACGCUGGCGGCGUGCCUAAUACAUGCAAGUAGAACGCUGAAGGAGGAGCUUGCUCUUCUGGAUGAGUUGCGAACGGGUGAGUAACGCGUAGGUAACCUGCCUGGUAGCGGGGGAUAACUAUUGGAAACGAUAGCUAAUACCGCAUAACAGUAGAUGUUGCAUGACAUUUACUUAAAAGGUGCAAUUGCUUCACUACCAGAUGGACCUGCGUUGUAUUAGCUAGUUGGUGGGGUAACGGCUCACCAAGGCGACGAUACAUAGCCGACCUGAGAGGGUGAUCGGCCACACUGGGACUGAGACACGGCCCAGACUCCUACGGGAGGCAGCAGUAGGGAAUCUUCGGCAAUGGACGGAAGUCUGACCGAGCAACGCCGCGUGAGUGAAGAAGGUUUUCGGAUCGUAAAGCUCUGUUGUAAGAGAAGAACGAGUGUGAGAGUGGAAAGUUCACACUGUGACGGUAUCUUACCAGAAAGGGACGGCUAACUACGUG
rnacentral:rRNA from 1 species